rnacentral:rRNA from 1 species
AUUGAACGCUGGCGGCAGGCCUAACACAUGCAAGUCGAGCGAGUGGCGGACGGGUGAGUAAUGUCUGGGGAACUGCCCGAUGGAGGGGGAUAACUACUGGAAACGGUAGCUAAUACCGCAUACCAUCGGAUGUGCCCAGAUGGGAUUAGCUUGUAUGUGGGGUAACGGCUCACCAAGGCGACGAUCUCUAGCUGGUCUGAGAGGAUGAGCAGCCACACUGUAACUGAGACACGGUCCAGACUCCUACGGGAGGCAGCAGUGGGGAAUAUUGCACAAUGGGAGCAAGCCUGAUGCAGCCAUGCCGCGUGUAUGAAGAAGGCCUUCGGUUUGUAAAGUACUUUCAGCUGGGAGGCGUUACCCGCAGAAGAAGCACCGGCUAACUCCGUGCCAGCAGCCGCGGUAAUUC